rnacentral:rRNA from 1 species
GACGACGACUCCUACGGAGGCAGCAGUGGGGAAUAUUGCACAAUGGGCGCAAGCCUGAUGCAGCCAUGCCGCGUGUAUGAAGAAGGCCUUCGGGUUGUAAAGUACUUUCAGCAGUGAGGAAGGUGGGUAUGUUAAUAGCAUAUUCAUUUGACGUUAGCUGCAGAAGAAGCACCGGCUAACUCCGUGCCAGCAGCCGCGGUAAUACGGAGGGUGCGAGCGUUAAUCGGAAUUACUGGGCGUAAAGCGCAUGCAGGUGGUUUGUUAAGUCAGAUGUGAAAGCCCGGGGCUCAACCUCGGAAUUGCAUUUGAAACUGGCAAACUAGAGUACUGUAGAGGGGGUAGAAUUUCAGGUGUAGCGGUGAAAUGCGUAGAGAUCUGAAGGAAUACCGGUGGCGAAGGCGGCCCCCUGGACAGAUACUGACACUCAGAUGCGAAAGCGUGGGGAGCAAACAGGAUUAGAUCCCCUGGUAG